AACGAACGCUAGCGGGAUGCCUCAAACAUGCAAGUCGAACGAGAAAGUACCUUCGGGUGCGAGUAAAGUGGCGCACGGGUGAGUAACACGUAACUAACGUACCUUAUCGCUGGGGAUAACUUCGGGAAACCGAAGCUAAUACCGAAUAGGCCGCACGGAACUCCGGUUCUGUGUGGUAAAGGCGCAAGCCGCGAUAAGAUCGGGUUGCGGCCCAUUAGCUUGUUGGUAGGGUAACGGCCUACCAAGGCAACGAUGGGUAGCUGGUCUGAGAGGAUGAUCAGUCACACUGGAACUGGAACACGGUCCAGACUCCCACGGGAGGCAGCAGUUGGGAAUAUUGCACAAUGGGCGAAAGCCUGAUGCAGCAAUCCCGCGUGAAGGACGAAGGUCUUCGGAUCGUAAACUUCUUUCAGCAGGGAAGAAGAUCUGACGGUACCUGCAGAAGAAGCACCGGCUAACU
rnacentral:rRNA from 1 species